AGAGUUUGAUCAUGGCUCAGAACGAACGCUGGCGGCAGGCUUAACACAUGCAAGUCGAACGCCCCGCAAGGGGAGUGGCAGACGGGUGAGUAACGCGUGGGAACAUGCCCAAAGGUACGGAACAACUCCGGGAAACUGGAGCUAAUACCGUAUGUGCCCGAAAGGGGAAAGAUUUAUCGCCUUUGGAUUGGCCCGCGUCGGAUUAGCUAGUUGGUGGGGUAAAAGCCUACCAAGGCGACGAUCCGUAGCUGGUCUGAGAGGACGACCAGCCACACUGGGACUGAGACACGGCCCAGACUCCUACGGGAGGCAGCAGUGGGGAAUCUUGGACAAUGGGCGCAAGCCUGAUCCAGCCAUGCCGCGUGGAUGAUGAAGGCCUUAGGGUUGUAAAAUCCUUUCGCCGAGGACGAUAAUGACGGUACU
rnacentral:rRNA from 1 species